AGAGUUUGAUCCUGGCUCAGGACGAACGCUGGCGGCGUGCUUAACACAUGCAAGUCGAACGAGAAUUCUUGGAAUAGAAGCUUCGGUGGAAAAGACAAGAAGGAAAGUGGCGGACGGGUGAGUAACGCGUGAGCAACCUACCUUGUACAAAGGGAUAGCCUCGGGAAACCGGGAUUAAUACCAUAUGAGACCCCAAUAACGAGUGUUAAAGAGGUUAAAGAUUUAUCGGUAUAAGAUGGGCUCGCGUCUGAUUAGCUAGUUGGAGGGAUAAAAGCCCCCCAAGGCGACGAUCAGUAACCGGCUUGAGAGAGUGAACGGUCACAUUGGAACUGAGACACGGUCCAAACUCCUACGGGAGGCAGCAGUAAGGAAUAUUGCGCAAUGGGGGAAACCCUGACGCAGCAACACCGCGUGGAGGAUGACACUUUUCGGAGCGUAAACUCCUUUUGUUAGGAAAGAAUAAUGACGGUACCUAACGAAUAAGCACCGGCUAACUCCGUGCCAGCAGCCGCGGUAAUACGGGGGGUGCAAGCGUUACUCGGAAUCACUGGGCGUAAAGGACGCGUAGGCGGAUUAUCAAGUCUUGUGUGAAAUCUAGUGGCUUAACCACUAAACUGCAUAGGAAACUGAUAGUCUAGAGUAGGGGAGAGGUAGAUGGAAUUCUUGGUGUAGGGGUAAAAUCCGUAGAGAUCAAGAGGAAUACUUAUUGCGAAGGCGAUCUACUAGAACCUAACUGACGCUGAGGCGUGAAAGACGUGGGUAGCAAACAGGAAUAGAUACCCUGGUAGUCCACGCCCCAAACGAUGUAUACUAGUUGUUGCCUUGCAAGUCAAGGCAGUAAUGCAGCUAACGCACUAAGUAUACCGCCUGGGGAGUACGGUCGCAAGAUUAAAACUCAAAGGAAUAGACGGGGACCCGCACAAGCGGUGGAGCAUGCGGUUUAAUUCGAAGAUACGCGAAGAACCUUACCCGGACUUGAUAUCUAACAAAUCAUCCAGAGAUGGAAGAGUGUCUGUUUACAGAAAUGUUAAGACAGGUGCUGCACGGCUGUCGUCAGCUCGUGUCGUGAGAUGUUGGGUUAAGUCCCGCAACGAGCGCAACCCACGCGUUUAGUUGCUAACAGUUAGGCUGAGCACUCUAAACAGACUGCCUUCGUAAGGAGGAGGAAGGUGUGGACGACGUCAAGUCAUCAUGGCCCUUAUGUCCGGGGCGACACACGUGCUACAAUGGCAUAUACAGUAAGACGCAAUACCGCGAGGUGGAGCAAAUCUACAAAAUAUGUCUCAGUUCGGAUCGGAGCCUGCAACUCGGCUCCGUGAAGCCGGAAUCGCUAGUAAUCGUAGAUCAGCCAUGCUACGGUGAAUACGUUCCCGGGUCUUGUACUCACCGCCCGUCA
rnacentral:rRNA from 1 species